CCUGCUGGGGUAUGUCAUGGAAGGUUUCAAAGAGGAGACGUUUGACUUGAGUUUUUAAGGAUGAGUUGAAGUUGAUCAGGAAGAUGGGCCUGUUAGGCAGCGGGAAUGGUGGUAUCAAUCGACAUGGUUUGCUCACAAUAUUCUCAUUGCUAGUUUCAUGGAUGUAUCCUGUGGCUUCUCCAUGAGAUAAUGAAGUUCUUGAAAGUGGGAGUGUCAUUUACACUCCUACCUGCAGACAGAGAUGACAAGACUAAGGCACAGAUAAGCACCUGAUACAGAGUAUAAAGCAUUGGCUGAAUGCGUGAAUCUUAGUUCCCGCUUUUCACCUUAGCAUCCUGACUACCGAUGCCCUGAACACACAUGGUGAAUUUGGCUGAAAUGAAGCAUUCUGUGCCUGCCCCACAAACCACCAAGGGACUGUGGGUUUAUUUGUCUCAAGAUGGUCAACACUGCUGUUUUCACAUUUUACUUGCUGUCAAAUAUAAAGAGAUAUCAUAUGUUG
rnacentral:lncRNA from 1 species